rnacentral:lncRNA from 1 species
CUGUAAACAACUUGUUGCUUCAUUAUUGGCUAGAUUGAAGUUGGAAACAACUUGUAGCUUCAUUCCAGACUCGUUUGAAUUUGAAAACAACUUGUAGGUUCAUUUUCGGUUGUUUAAAAUUAGAAUCAACUUGUAGUUUCAUUCUUGACUCGUUUGAGCCCGGAAACAACUUGUUGCUUUAUUAUUGGCUAGAUGGAAUUUGGAAACAACUUGUAGCUUCAUUCCAGACUCGUUUGAAGUUGAAAACAACUUGUAGCUUCAUUUUCGGUUGUUUAAAAUUAGAAUCAACUUGUAGUUUCAUUCUUGACUUGUUUAAGCAUGUAAACAACUUGUUGCUUCAUUAUUGGCUAGAUUGAAGUUGGAAACAACUUGUAGCUUCAUUCCAGACUCGUUUGAAGUUUAAAACAACUUGUAGCUUCAUUUUCGGUUGAUUAAAUGAAAAUCAACUUGUAGUUUCAUUCUUGACUCGUUUGAGCUCGGAAACAACUUGUUGCUUCAUUCCAGACUCGUUUGAAGUUGAAAACAACUUGUAGCUUCAUUUUCGGUUGAUUAAAUGAAAAUCAACUUGUAGGUUCAUUCUUGACUCGUUUGAGCUCGGAAACAACUUGUUGCUUCAUUCCAGACUCGUUUGAAGUUGAAAACAACUUGUAGCUUCAUUUUCGGUUGAUUAAAUGAAAAUCAACUUGUAGGUUCAUUCUUGACUCGUUUGAGCCUGUAAACAACUUGUCGCUUCAUUAUUGUCUAGAUUGAAGUUGGAAACGCUUCAUUAUUGUCUAGAUUGAAGUUGGGAACAACUUGUAGCUUCAUUCUAGACUCGUUUAAAGUUGAAAACAACUUGUUGCUUCAUUAUUGGCUAGAUUGAAGUUGGAACCAACUUAUAGCUUCAUUCUAGACUCGUUUAAAGUUGAAAACAACUUGUAGCUUCAUUUUCUGUUGUUUAAAAUUAAAAUCAACUUGUAGUAUCAUUCUUGACUCGUUUGAGACCGGAAACAACUUGUUGCUUCAUUAUUGGCUAGAUUGAAGUUGGAAACAACUUGUAGCUUCAUUCCAGACUCGUUUGAAGUUGAAAACAACUUGUAGCUUCAUUUUCGGUUGUUUAAAAUUAGAAUCAACUUGUAGUUUCAUUCUUGGCUCGUUUGAGAUCGGAAAUAACUUGUUGCUUCAUUUUCGGUUGUUUAAAAUUAGAAUGAACUUGUAGUUUUAUUCUGGACUCAUUUGAGCCUCUAAACAACUUGUUGCUUCAUUAUUGGCUAUAUUGAAGUUGGAAACAACUUGUACCUUCAUUCCAGACUCGUUUGAAGUUGAAAAAUUUGUAGCUUCAUUUUCGGUUGUUUAAAUUUAGAAUCAACUU